rnacentral:rRNA from 1 species
GACUAUAUAGAAUCAGCUAGUUGGACAGGUAAUGGCUUACCAAGGCUAUGACGCUUAACUGGUCUGAGAGGAUGAUCAGUCACACUGGAACUGAGACACGGUACAGACUCCUACGGGAGGCUGCAGGAGGGAAUAUUGCGCAAUGGGGGAAACCCUGACGCAGCAACGCCGCGUGGAGGAUGACACUUUUCGGAGCGUAAACUCCUUUUCUUAGGGAAGACUUCUGACGGUACCUAAGGAAUAAGCACCGGCUAACUCCGUGCCAGCAGCCGCGGUAAUACGGAGGGUGCAAGCGUUACUCGGAAUCACUGGGCGUAAAGGGCGCGUAGGCGGAUUAUCAAGUCUCUUGUGAAAUCUAAUGGCUUAACCAUUAAACUGCUUGGGAAACUGAUAGUCUAGAGUGCGGGAGAGGCAGAUGGAAUUGGUGGUGUAGGGGUAAAAUCCGUAGAUAUCA